rnacentral:sRNA from 1 species
UGAAUGUGAUGUUAAUCUGAGACAUUUCUUGCCUCAUUCAUUGCCAAGGUUCAUUGAGUUGGUCUCAACCGUCAGUCAGCUAUCCUCUUUAUCUUCAUCACACAUCCUGUGUCCCUCCUGAAGAUGAAGGCUCCUUGGAAGAGGAUGCCCUUCCCCUAUACAGGAAGAUGCGUCUUCUGUUAAGAAAACAUGAGUAUGAGUGUUGUGACAAGUUCUCAAAAGAGACAAUAAACCAAAGCAAGGAGAAUGGACAUGGGUGG